GUCCACGCCCUAAACGAUGUCUACUAGUUGUCGGGUCUUAAUUGACUUGGUAACGCAGCUAACGCGUGAAGUAGACCGCCUGGGAGUACGGUCGCAAGAUUAAACUCAAAGGAAUUGACGGGACCCGCACAAGCGGUGGAUGAUGUGGAUUAAUUAGAUGCAACGCGAAACCUUACCUACCCUUGACAUGGCUGGAAUCCUCGAGAGAUUGAGGAGUGCUCGAAAGAGAACCAGUACACAGGUGCUGCAUGGCUGUCGU
rnacentral:rRNA from 1 species